CACCGGCGUUUUACGUAAGCACGCAGCUUCUCCUCUCCUCCAGCUCCUGCAGGAUAAUAUAAAUAAAUAUAAAUAUAGUUAUUUAUGUAUUUCUGGAACCGCGGCGGAGCUGGAGGAACAGCAGCCCGCCUGAGAGGAGCUUCAGAGCGGCCCUGAGGAUUUCUGACGACAAAGAACAGCAGACUCAGAAACACAAGAUGCCAAAAGAGCAAAUCGAGACAAAGAGAAGAGAAGAGCAGUGAAAUCAGGUCCUGAAACUCCAACCAAGCGUUUCUACAAAGUGUUUUUUUUUUAAACGACGCCAAAGAAGAAGCACCCUUUUUCACCCUGGUAAAAAAAAACAUCUUUAUGUCAAGUUAAGAGAAAAUUAAACAAUGUGACUCGUUCUUAAAGCUACUGCGUACCUUAUCUUAUUUUAUAGUUAAAAGUUUAUCUUCUUUAAGUUACCGUGUACCUUAUCUUAUUUUAUAGUUAAAAGUUUCUUAUCUUAAAGUUUUUAACUUCUAUCAGAAGAUCUGAUGGAGCAGUUUAAGAUCUUCUCAUGUUGAAAAUCAUGUUUUUGCACUU